rnacentral:rRNA from 1 species
AGAGUUUGAUCCUGGCUCAGAACGAACGCUGGCGGCGUGGAUAAGACAUGCAAGUCGAGCGAGAUUUUUUCCUGUAGCAAUACAGGGAAAAGUCUAGCGGCGAACGGGUGCUUAACACGUGGGCAACCUGCCAAGAAGUGGGGGAUAGCUCGCCGAAAGGCGAAUUAAUACCGCAUGUGAUCAGAGUGGACAUCCAUUCGAAAUCAAAGUCGGGGCAACCUGACGCUUCUUGAGGGGCCCGCGGCCUAUCAGCUAGUUGGUGAGGUAACGGCCCACCAAGGCUUAGACGGGUAGCUGGUCUGAGAGGACGACCAGCCACACUGGGACUGAGACACGGCCCAGACACCUACGGGUGGCAGCAGUCGAGAAUUUUUCUCAAUGGGGGAAACCCUGAAGGAGCGACGCCGCGUGGAGGAUGAAGGUCUUCGGAUUGUAAACUCCUGUCAUUGGGGAACAAUGCGUAAAUAUUAACUGUAUUUGCGUUGAUAGUACCCGAAGAGGAAGAGACGGCUAACUCUGUGCCAGCAGCCGCGGUAAUACAGAGGUCUCAAGCGUUGUUCGGAUUCAUUGGGCGUAAAGGGUGCGUAGGCGGCGCGGUAAGUCGGGUGUGAAAUCUCGGAGCUUAACUCCGAAACUGCAUUCGAUACUGCCGUGCUUGAGGACUGGAGAGGAGACUGGAAUUUACGGUGUAGCGGUGAAAUGCGUAGAUAUCGUAAGGAAGACCAGUGGCGAAGGCGGGUCUCUGGACAGUUCCUGACGCUGAGGCACGAAGGCCAGGGGAGCAAACGGGAUUAGAUACCCCAGUAGUCC